rnacentral:misc_RNA from 1 species
GAUGAAGAACGUAGCGAAAUGCGAUAAGUAAUGUGAAUUGCAGAAUUCCGUGAAUCAUCGAAUCUUUGAACGCAUAUUGCGCCCUCUGGCAUUCCGGGGGGCAUGCCUGUCCGAGCGUCAUUAUAACCCCUCAAGCUCAGCUUGGUGUUGGGGCCUGCCGACUGGCAGCCCUUAAAAUCAGUGGCGGCGCCAUCUGGCUCUAAGCGUAGUAAUUUCUCUCGCUAUAGAGUCCCGGUGGAUGCUUGCCAGCAACCCCCAACUUUCUAUGGUUGACCUCGGAUCAGGUAGGGAUACCCGCUGAACUUAAGCAUAUCAAUAAGCGGAGGA